rnacentral:pre_miRNA from 1 species
ACAUAAAUCACCUGGCGGUCUUGUUCACACAUAGAUUCUGAUUCUGUGGGUGUGGGAUUCUGUUUUUUUAGCAAGUUUCCUGGCGAGGUCGAU